CAUACUAGCUCAGUGGUAGAGCACUUUCCUGAUAAGAAAGGUGUCGCAGGUACCGCUACGCGGAAGCAAGCUACAAAUCCUGUCUAUGA
rnacentral:tRNA from 2 species